rnacentral:lncRNA from 1 species
AACAUGAGAUGUCCAGGAUUGGAGGUUGAAAAGAUUUCACUACAGUGUUCUGCAAUAGUUGGAGCAGAUAACUUUCAGUGUAGCCACAGCCAUGGACUCCAGAUUUCCAGAUUUUCAAGACCUGGACCUGGAACCCGAAAGAGCUUGUCACGAUGCGGCAGGAACACUGGAGGUAGAUUUUUUUUUAUUUUUGAAUUUUGGGACUGUUGACCUUGCUGUGAGAAAAGAGACAACGACUGAGCAAGCACUACCACCAGCACUGUUACUGGGAAUUAGAAGACCUGAGUUUCUGUCCAGACCCUCAGUGCAAACUGAGGAUGCUCCAUCCAAAGUGAAUUAUGAUAGCAGACUCCUUGAAAGCAGGGUCCUUGUUUAGUGCAUCUUUGCCCACAUACACCACAACAUAUCAAGAUGCAUUUAUUAGGAAGGAGGAGUUUAGAGAGCAGGCUAUCAGAAUAACCACUCAUCCUGUGCCUCCUGAUUGCUGAGUGUUCACCUGGACCUUCUGACUACCUUCCCUGUGCUAUUCCAUCAGCCUACAGACCUGGUACCUGGAUUUUUGCCCGAGAUGAUUCCUACCACCUUACUACUGACGAAGACACCCAUUCCAGUGGACCACUGUGACCCAGGAGGCAUUCAGCCAUCAUGAUGUGGCCUUUACCUCCACUCCUGUCUUGUUCUACCCAGAUUCAGCACAGCCCUUUAUAGUGAAGUCAGAGUCCUCAAGCCAAAUAGCUAAAGCUGUUUUAUCACAACAAAGGCCUAGUUUGUUCCAUGAGUGUGCAUUUCAUUUCUUCAGUUAAAGCCUUCAGAGACACACAAUAAAUUUGGACCAGGGGAUUUUUUAGUUAUUAAUGCUCUCUGAAGAAAGGCAACAUCUUUUUGAGAGCAGCAUUGGACCACACCCCACAAUCUCAAAUGAUUGAAAUUCAUGAACAUCUAGGAUCCCGUGAAGGUCACUGGACCCUGUUUUUUCUACUUCAAAUCCUGUAGUAGCCUACUGAAUGAGAAAACAUAUUCUGACCCAUUGGGAUCAAAUCAAAGGCACAGUGAACUCCUCAUAGCAUCUUCUUUGGAAUUACUCAGGAACCAGAACUUUUUACACAAAUGUAAGAAAUUCUACCAAGGAGUCCCCUUACCUAACAGCAUCUCACAAGGCUGCACCAGAUUCCAGAAAAGGCUUCUCUUGAUACAUCAAGCAUUUUGUGACCGACUUAUUCUUAGAUCAUUGGUUUUCCAAAGGCUUUGUGGCCAUGAAGCCCUUUGAGUGAAAACUGUGCAGAAGCCCAGAGUAAAAGUGAAGCUGCUCUGGAUGAAGUAGUGAAGCAAGAGUAGGGGCCUGAAUCCUGCUACAACUAUCUUCCUUUACCACCGUGGUGACACCUAAGGGGACUUCCUUACAACACCUUGAACUCUUCCGAACACAGUUUGAAAACCACUGCCCCAGACAGCAAUAUGUUUGACCUGAAUGGCAUUCCAAUCUUUUCUGUACCUCCACUCAGCACAGUUCAUGUUCAGUAGAUGCUGAACAUUCUUAGAAAUACUGUGUGUGAACUUAGAAAAGUGCAAGAAGACAGGCAUGUCUUUGACCCCAGGAAUGAUCAUUUGCUGAAGAUGGUGUCAAGUGAACCUAGAUUAACAGCCCUCCACUCCAGAUGGAUAUCCAGUGAUUCCUAGAAUGGGAUAUAGCCAGAGAACAAUUCUAUGCACCCUACACUGACAGACUCCCUUAAGCAACACCAGAUGCUCUACUGGUACUUGAAGUACAUGACUUUGAAGUCUUGACCCUCCAUGAAUACCUGAAUUAUCAGCAAGCGGGUUUUGAAGCUGGUGCCUCAUUGAGGCCAUAUUAGAGCAACUUGUACAUUUGACCUCUUGUUAUCAGCCAUGGUACUCUACUUCGUGUGCAAGAGAUAACUAUGAAAGCCAAAUUCAAAUACUGGCAACAUUUCCUAAAGGGGCUCAAUAUCUAUCAUUCGUCUUCUUUUCCAAACUACACAUCACUGUAUGACUCAACCAGUAGCAGUUAUAUUGCCCCUUGGUUUUUAUUCAGUUUAACUACUGUUUCCAAGAUAAAUGAGCUAAUAAGCUUUAAAAAAAAAAAAAAAAAAGGCUGAAUUCUUUUUUCUUCAUCACUGGCAUAUCUGCCUAUUCUCCAGAAUUAUUAUGACUAUUCAGCUCACUUUAACAGUUGAACUUCAAGCGACAAUCUUUGAACACCCCUUCUCAUGUGAUUUAAAAUGAAACCAUUUGGAAAAGUUUCUUCUAGCCAGUAAUAGAUUUUUUUUUUAAUUGCUCUGCCUUGUGCCGAGAGAUGUUCUUUUAAGAUGAAUCUUUUGAUGUCUGAUACCACCAAAUAUAGGUGGUAGGGAGAGUUGGAGGCUGGCCCUUUGAGCAGGCCAUUAGCUUACUUGCUGGGCAUUUCCGAUAGCUUAUUGCCUACCUUUUUGCUGGAAACAAACUGAUUUGAAAAACAAAAUCUAUGAAGACUGCAGCUAAGGAUUUUAUCGGUAGACUUAAGAGCUUUUGUCCUUGUGGAUAUUUUAGUGGAACCACAUCAGUCUCAAUACUGUCAUUUUACACUGACUCAGAGCAGCUGACUUCAUUCCUUGCCAUGAUAUAUAUUUAAGGCAGGCAUUGUAACAGACAUAAAGACAACUUAUCUGUUUCAGCAGGAAGGAUUCAGUUUAUGAACUCUCAGACCAGAUCAUGUUGAACAAGGAGACUUUGAUGUGUGUCAUGAGAAAACUCAUUCUUUACUUCCCAGUCAAUUUAAAGGCCAGCUAUCCUGAGCUACUCGAAUGAAUGCACUGGUUAAACAUUGGAAAUAGUUUGUUUAUAUCCUUGUCUCUCUCUAGGCCAAUUGUGAUUACAUGACUCGACUCUACAUCUCGUCAAACAAGGCCUAGGUCUGGUUGCUGUAGACUGCUCGCCCUCAACAAAUAAAAUCUGGUUGACUAGCCUCCUUGUAUAUACAACUAUUAUUUGUUAAGAAGAAAUUAUCGUCAAUUUUCUACUACCUUCCAAUUGUCAGCUCUUUUUUUCCUCUCUGGUUUUUCCUAUACUUUACAGAAAAAGACAUUGAUCUAUACUGCCAUUCCCUCUAAUCCUGCCAUACUCAGUCAAAAGGAAUGACUUAAGAUGAAGAUGAUCAUCUGCUCGAGUCUAAAAUAUACAUUGUAUAUAAGAAUUGGUGAUUAGAAAAGCAAAAAACCUAAAACUUAAAUCUAGGAGUCUGUAUACUGUCUCCAUGUCUCCAUGCCUCAGAUCUCAUCUAAAUCUUUGAACAGCACCAUUCAACCAAUCUGAGGCCUUGACUUGCUUGUAAGAUGAUUCUCAGAGAUCGGCUGAGUUAAAAAAGAUGACGACUUGAUUACCAAAGAAAGUAGGGCCAACUUUGACAAAUCUGGCUCUGCUGACCCUGUCACUCCCAGAUGUAGCAUAGACUCCUAAACAGAACCUCAAGUCUGAUUGAGGAUAAGGCCUUCUCCUGAGCUGAAAGUUCUUUGGCAGAUGAGCAAGAAACUGAAAGCUGAUGUACCUGACUGGCUCUGUAAGAUCAGAAAACUGUAUCCAGAAUAAGCCCUAUGGAUUAACCCCUGAGUACCCAGAGUAAAAACUAAUUUACAGAACUUCCUUAUUGAUCUGCUGGUUCUUCCAGAUCAUAUUCUGGCUAUUGGUAUGGCUGGCCUUUCUGAAGGUACCCUGCUUGUCUAUUUUCCUGACUCAGCUCUUGCCUGCCUUUUUCACAUGUUGCUGCAAUUAGACUCACCGUGAGGACUACAGUCAAUUUCAGUCUAUCUUGUGCCCAAUACAACAAGGAUUUUUAAUAGUAACAACCCACACCUCACCCACUAGGACUCAAUGUUCACAACAGGAAGGACCAUUGCUGCAUACUCCUUGACCAGCAACUUUUUUGAAGAUAUUUUUAAGUGCAGAGUAGGCCUCUAUUCCUGUAUGUAAUUGUUCAUUUUCAGCACCUGGAACCUCAUCUAUCGGGUCUGGAAGGAAUACAGCAGUUCGAAAGCCGCGUCCAUUUCUCUCCUUCAGUAGUGCAGAAAUGAGUCCGAUUCACCAGUACACACAGAACUGUACCAGUUCAACCUAGCAAAAGAAGAAAAGUUUCCACUGUACUUAAAAUUUACAGCUGACUCAAAUUGCCUCACAGAAUUAUUUGAUGUAGAAGGCUAGUUGUCUUACUUCAGAUCAGCAGGACAGUUGGGCUCUCAGACUCAUGACCACUGAGUUUGCUUGUGUUGAAACUGUGGUUUCAUCCAACAUAUGCUAUUGGACAUGAUUAUUAUUCCAUUCAAAUGGAUUACAGACUUCUUGAGGACAGGACAAACUUAUCUCUCAUGGUGUUUUUUUAGAAUACUUUUAUAACCAAGGAAGAAACCAUGCCAGCUGUUACCAUUCAACUUCUUAAGCAGAGAUUAAGCUUUUUCAUAUCUGUUCUUAUCCUGGACAUCAGUAGUUUUUAAUUGCCCAGCAUCCGUUCCAUCUUGUAACAACUCCCUGAUGUUUCUUAAAACCACCUCUUCCUAUUUUCAGUCUGUGGUUUGGACAGUCUGACCCAACCUUGAGCUUUGUGGGUGAACAUGUAAUUCAGACCUCAUCAAUCAGCAAAUCCAUCUGAACUGUGGAGGAGAAGCUCUCUUUACUGAGGGUGCUUUAGCUUUGUAGGAUGAAAACCUCAAACUAACAGGGCCUACCAUGUAGAGAAUGAAGCCAGUGCAGGGGAAAGCAGAGCCA